CUUGUGCUGGUUUUAUCUGUUGUAUUUUCCGUGGAAAUACAUACGAGGCAUUACUUUCAGAGCAACCAACACAAGUGCAAAGUCAGCAAGGUUACGUCGUGACCUCAUUUGCUUAUAGGAGAAGCCUUCUAAUGUCAGGAAAGGUCCAGGGGUUGUUGUUACUUGUCUGGCUCAAAAAACUUGUAACAGAGGAUUUUUUUCCUCACAUGCUCAGAAGGCAUAUCCAGCAGGCAAUGGGGUUUAUUCUGCUUUAGAACCAGACUGAAAACACAAACAAGGAAGUUACAAGAGUUUACAUGUUGCACCUGGUCUUGGGCCUCCUCAGUGGAAAAUGUAAUUCUUGUCACAGAAAAACACUCAGUGUUACAUGGAAAUGUUACAUCUGCAAGACUUUCCUACAGCAACUCUGUUCUCCCUUCUUUCUGUGGUGCCAACAGGGCAAAAUAACAAGUAGAUUACGUUACACUAGCUUUGUCUCAAGCUCUUGGUGUUAAUGCACUCAGAAGUUAAACAGAGAGAAACAGAAAAGUAACGCACUAAAGACUGACUGCCAUAGAGGGGCCUCAGUCAAAGCAGGACUGUGCAAUAGAUACAUUUUCAGAAGCGAGUAAUCAGUGCUAAUACAAUAAAGAUGAGAUCACAAAAGAACCACGUAUUUCAAGAAAAAUAAGCUCAUGAACUCUUUCUAUGGUGAAAAUCACUUCAUUUGAGAUGAGGCAGCAAAACUGUGUGAUAUUACCCUCUCUACAAGUUGGGUAAGGCACUGUGGAAUCUGUUGCUGUAAAUAAACCUCAUUGAGGGAAAUCCUCAUGUAACCACAAAGAGAUCUUUGCCUCUCCUCACCACGUGAAUUUAUUUAAGUUUCAUCAAAUCAGUAAGAGCAUAUAUCUGAUUUCUAUUAAUUCAAAAUCAGAGAAAAGCAUAGCAGUGUUCAAGAUUACCCAGAAUAAAUGAAAUCAAUUUUCCCAAAGUCCAAACUCUGUUUCCUUUAACGCUAGCCAUAGGCCAUCUCCCACCAGCUGUUCCAUCUUGAUUUCUCUUCCUGUCCUGUGCAGAAGAGGGAGAGCCCAGGUAGUUGAAUAGCCACGAGACAAAUCUCAUCCAGCAAACCUGGCUUCACCUUCACAUUGUUCCUCAACCGUAGGUUGAUUUUUCCU
ensembl:lncRNA